CACGGUGCCCAUGGAAGCAAAGCUGUGCGUGUGCCAUUGAACAAUAUGGUAUGAAGGUUCCUGGAGUCACUUUGUCACUGUUCUCAUCUCCAUAUACACGAAUUACACUACCUGGACGGUUUCCAGAGCCUGCGGCUGCUUUAUUAGCCCUCAGCCCCAGUAAACGUCCCUGGUGGAGGAUUACAGUUUCUGUUAACGGAAUGGAGAUGAUGACACCAUUUCCUGUUCCUACCCAUAAACGAUUACAAGACACCAUAAGAGCUGUGAUUCUCACAAAU
rnacentral:lncRNA from 1 species